rnacentral:rRNA from 1 species
AAUAUUGGACAAUGGGGGAAACCCUGAUCCAGCCACGCCGCGUGAGUGAUGAAGGCCUUCGGGUCGUAAAGCUCUGUGGGGAGGGACGAACGUCCGGGUGUAGAGCCCGGGGUGACGGUACCUCCUUAGCAAGCACCGGCUAACUUCGUGCCAGCAGCCGCGGUAAUACGAAGGGUGCAAACGUUGCUCGGAAUCAUUGGGCGUAAAGCGCACGUAGGCGGCUUCGAAAGUCGGAUGUGAAAUCCCUCGGCUCAACCGAGGACGUGCAUCCGAAACUUCGAGGCUUGAGUACAGAAGAGGAUCGCGGAAUUCCCGGUGUAGAGGUGAAAUUCGUAGAUAUCGGGAGGAACACCAGUGGCGAAGGCGGCGAUCUGGGCUGAUACUGACGCUGAGGAGCGAAAGCGUGGGUAGCAAAC